rnacentral:lncRNA from 1 species
CUACUAUUAUUUCUCUCCCCAGCUAUUCUCAGCAACCUAAUUGCAAAAGAAAAUCCGCAAACUUCGAACCCUUUCCCUCACUUAAUUAUCCUCUUUUGCCAAUUCCACCACUACAUUGGCGAAUCCUUUGACGGAGACUCAGCCGCCAAACGCAACCGCUGCUUUGUUGCGCCGCCUCGAACAAUCGUCGCCCAAUACUCAGGCUGGCUUGCGGCCUCACGCCGCCUCCAAGCGCAAGAGCAAACCCACCAAGUUUCC